rnacentral:rRNA from 1 species
GACGAACGCUGGCGGCGUGCUUAACACAUGCAAGUCGAGCGGUAAGGCCCGGUUUUGCUGGGUACACGAGCGGCGAACGGGUGAGUAACACGUGGGUGACCUGCCUUCAGCUCUGGGAUAAGCCUGGGAAACUGGGUCUAAUACCGGAUGUUCACUGUGCGUUGCAUGGUGUGUGGUGGAAAGUCUGUGUUUUUNUUGAC